ensembl:ncRNA C14C11.9 ncRNA
AGUUUUUAUGGGAUAAAUUAGAGAGCAUGCAAGAUAUAUCUAUCCCGAAAUCCUUUGACUGUCAAAAAGGAAAUAGCGGAUUGGGAGAUUUUUGUUGACUCGCAUCAAAAUAGAGACAAAAUGAAAAGGAAC